UGGCCUUGACAUACUAAGAACUUUCCAGAGAUGGAUUGGUGCCUUCGGGAACUUAGAUACAGGUGCUGCAUGGCUGUCGUCAGCUCGUGUCGUGAGGUGUUGGGUUAAGUCCCGCAACGAGCGCAACCCUUUUCCUUAUUUGCCAGCGGGUCAUGCCGGGAACUUUAAGGAUACUGCCAGUGACAAACUGGAGGAAGGCGGGGACGACGUCAAGUCAUCAUGGCCCUUACGGCCAGGGCUACACACGUGCUACAAUGGUCGGUACAAAGGGUUGCUACCUCGCGAGAGGAUGCUAAUCUCAAAAAGCCGAUCGUAGUCCGGAUCGCAGUCUGCAACUCGACUGCGUGAAGUCGGAAUCGCUAGUAAUCGCGGAUCAGAAUGCCGCGGUGAAUACGUUCCCGGGCCUUGUACACACCGCCCGUCACACCAUGGGAGUUUGUUGCACCAGAAGUAGGUAGUCUAACCGCAAGGAGGACGCUUACCACGGUGUGGCCGAUGACUGGGGUGAAGUCGUAACAAGGUAGGCGUAGAUGA
rnacentral:rRNA from 1 species